GAGAGAGAGAGAGCAAGAGAAUGAGGCAGAGAGAGAGAGCAAACAAUGUCAUUCCAUUCACCAGGCAAUGCUGCAGUCAACUUUACAUCACAGGAGGUGAAGACUCAGCCGCUUGUGCAUCCUGAGAAGAGCCGAGAAGAGAAGACGAGAGCUUGAUCCUUCCUGCAGAAGCUGUAGAGCAGAGGGCAUUCUGCAGAGCAAGAACAUGCCUUGACUUGUACCGGCUUGUCAGGAGGGAGUUGGGGCUUGUGGUCAGCACCAAUAGCUGAGUGUUUUCAUCCAACUGACCAGUGGAAGACAACAACGCCAUACAGACUAUGUUGGCUUUGGAAUGGCUGAAAAUUGUAAUAGAAUGAAUUGAUAAAGAGCUAAUACUCAGACAAGUCUUCCUUGACUCUGGACGUGCCCUCACUGGAAGUUCCCUGACCUCACCACAGCUGAUUGGUUUUUCUGAUGACACGACCCCUGAGACAAAAGAUGAUCAAGUCUGAGGAAUGAAAUGACUGCUGUACUAUAGACAGAGUGACAGAACAGUGGGAGAAAGAGAAGGAGAAUGGAACAUUGCAGAGGCAAAACAGAAUGGUUGUCACAACCAAGUGCUUCUUUCACAGAAACUUAUCCUGAUAUCCGGGGGACGAGGAGAGAUUCAACGUAAGCUCAGCUGUGAGAAGAAUUUUCAUCUACUGGCAUUUCUUGGAAACCGAAAGCAGGACAAAGAGUUAUUUGCAAAGGGGAAAUCUAACUCUGUCACCGGUUGUCAUAGAAGGGACUGGGGACAUUCCAUUGGCAGGGUAUUAAAGUGUCCUGACUGAGCCACCCUGCAGGAGAUGGGAGAGUCAUAUAUGAGAAGCCUUAACGGUCUCCGACAGAUCGUUUGGAUGAUGUUGAAAGAUGCUGAAGUGAUGAAAGAAGAGGAGAAAACGAGGGAUGGGGGGGGCGCUGCUGUGAGUGGUUCUUUGGCAGUGUCUUAGCUGGUUGUUGUGUGGAGUGAGAACGAAGCAAUCAGCAAGUAUACUGCCGCAGAAACUCGUCACAUUGGGAGGCCCAUCCAUCCGACCUCGCUCACGCACUCACCCGCCCACCCGUGUAUUCAAAGGCUGGAGAGAGAGACAGAUGGAGAGAGGUGAAACCUCUGUCUGUUCAUAUUAUCAGCUCUAGAAACAGAGCUUCUCCUCUGGCAUCAUUCAUUCCACUUCAUCUAAUUGUGAGUGUCAGCCUUUGUUUUUGUCACCACUCGUUGAAUCCUAAAGGGAUUGUUUACCCAAAAAUUUAAAUUCAUGUUUUCAAAAGACUUGCUUUCUUCAGUGGAACACAAAAGGAGAUAUUUAGGCAGAUUGACAGCCUCAGUCACCAUUCACUUUCAUUCUAGGGAAAAGAGAUUAAAUGAAAGUUAAUGUUAACUGAGAGUGUAAUUCUGCCUCCUUUUGUUUUCAACUGGAUGAUGAUGGAACAAAUGAUGACAGAAUUUUGAUUUUAGGGUGAACUAUCCCUUUAACAGCUGACUGAUUUCAUGAAUUUGAAAGAUUGAUUUAUAUUUUCAUGUUUUAUUGUCAUGGUUUAGUUCUUUUUAAGCCAAAUGCAAAGCUGGUGUUUUCAAAGUGUUUUUUUUUUUUUUUUUUUUUUUUUCAUUCUGUUUUUCUGUUGAUCGGGGACAAUUUAGUCACCUUUUAUUAUGAGUAUCAGCUGACAAUUUUUUGCUGUUUCAAUAUUGCCAUGAUGUAGUGUGUCUUGUUUAUAUUUGGCCUAUACUUAGCUUGCGGUCUAAUGACAUAUUCAAGUUGUGUUGUGAUGCAUUCAUCAUGAAGUCUGCUAAUGGACCAAAACAUACAGUAUAUUAUCAUCAUAAUGACAAAAAACAUCUAAUACAGAAAGUAGUCGACUACUCCCAGUUUGAACAUUUGUUUAUAGAAUGCUAUAUGAAUUAUUCAUCUAUACAUUUCAUAUUGUGUUUUAAUGUGACUGUGUUUUAAUACUAAUUUCCUUUAUUUAUUUAAUAAUAAUUCUAUGAAUGAAUUUUGCCUAAAUAAUAAUAAUAAAAAUAGUAGAGUUUUAAAAGGUCAUCAUUAUUGUUAUUUCUCUAUUUGUACCAUAUGUUUAGUAGUAUGUUUAAAGCAAUCUGUGUGUGCUGUGUGUAUUAAAGUCAAGUUUCAUUUACAGAGAGCUGCAUUAGUGUUGAGUUUUGAUUGUGAUCAUCAAACAGCAAAGUUUUUGAAGGUGAAUGAAAUCACCUAUCCUUAAAGCUAAUGUGUGUACAUUUUUUGAUGUUUAAAUACUUUCUCCUAUUCCAUUUUAUGCAGAAACAAAUAUAAGUAAACCAUUAAUAUGUUGAUUUCCUUGACACUUUCAGCAUUCCAUUUUUAUUUAUUUAUCUAUUUAUUUAUUUAUUUUUAUUUAUUUUUUGAGCAACCUGACCAGCCCAACACAAACCAAUGGUGUGAGUUUGUGGCAGGACUAUCUGUUAGUUUGACAAAUGGCAGAUGAAGGGUGCAUUCAGAAAGCUGCUUGAAAACAGUGUUUAUGUUUGUAAUUCUGUUUGGUGCCACUAGUGGAGCAAAAAUUACACACUUUAGCUUUAACUCACUUCCAAAUCUUAUGUAAUCAAAUCAGUGGGCCAAUAAGUUUGAACCUGUCUGGAAAGCAGAAAAUCAAAUCAAUUUAGUAAGCUAUUUCACAAUAGAUUAAAGCACUUGCUCUGAAAGUGUGAUUAUUACACAUUGUGUAGCCUUUAUAAAUAUUACAUACAUUAAUGUUACUAUAAGGUAUAAGUAUUUUAUGUCAAACAUCAUGUAUACACUAUAUGUCUGUACAUCGCAUGCUGUACAAAACGCAACAAUAGCAAAUUAAUCUAAAUAUAGUAUGGAUAACCGCAGACAUUAAGCUCCUCUUAAUGCCACAGCAGACACUGUUAAUCACAUUUUUCAUCCACAAAGGUCAUUGCAGUUAUGCAGCAGAAACAUUUCACAUUUUGUCAGUUGUGUGAUUAACACCUCAGAUAUAGUCAGAAAGUAUUUUGUAUUUUAAUGUAACUUAUCUGUGAGCCUGGUUUGUGUUAUGUCAGUGGCUCAGGAGUUGCACAUCUGUGUUAACAAGACCAAAACUGAACUUGCCUUGUUUACCAGACCUCCGGAUCCUCACAGGCAUUCACAAUUCAAAUGACAAAACCCAUGUUUUUUUUGUUUUUUUAUCAGUGGUACCUUGCUGUAAUUGGUGUAUAUGUACUUAAAUCUACUCUACACUGGAUUACGUAGCAUAUAACACCAUAUACCAGUCAUAGAGCACAUUUAAACCAUCCGCCAAAGGUCUUAUCAUUUUUGUUUACUCUUCACAACUUUUAGGCUGUAUCUUCACACCUUGCAGAAAUAAAUUUAAAUUUGAUCAAUAAUCCAUGCCUGGGUGAGACUGGGGGAUCUUCUCAAGCAUAUGGUAUAAUAGGAUGUCUGACAGGUUAAAGUGUCAUUUUUACCUAAAAAUAAAAAAUCUGUCAUCGUGUAUUCACCCUCAUGUUGUUCCGAAACAAUAUACUUUUCUCUUCCCUGCAACGCAAAAUGAAAUGUUAGGCAGAAUGUUAGAGGCUGACAGCCUCAGUCACCAUUUACUUGUAUGGAGAGAAAAAAUAGUGCAGCCUCAACAUUCUUUAAACUGAUUGUAUUUUGUUCCACAGAAGAAAGUGAAACAGGUUUAAAACAACAUAAGAAUAAAUUACAACAGAAUUUUAAUUUUUUGGGGUAAUCUAUCUCUUCAAGAGCAUAGAUCCAAAAAAAAAAAAAAAAUGCCACCUUUUGUAUUGUAACUCUUAUAUAGAGUAAUGAGACUCUUCAGGAAUGCAAUGUGCAUGAGAAUCUCUCUGCAUAACCUGAACGUACAGCUCACAAAGGUGCUGAGAAGAAAACUACGGACUGUCUUUAACAGAGGAACAAGGGAAAGCAUUGAUUUUCUUUAUCUCUUCUCCACUUUCUUCCUCUCUCCCUGAAAUUAAAAGAUGUACCACACUGGAACAGAAUGCUGCAGUUUUAUGUGAUCUUAGGCACAGUAUUGCUCCUAUGGUGACAGUGUGAUAAAAGGAGUUACAUUUCCCUAAAAUUAGUCUUUGCCUGAAAGAUGGAUAAAAAAAAUCUCCUCACUAGAUACUGAAAUGUAGGCGAUUUUUUUUCUUUUUCUCAUUUUUUAUCUCAUUCCAAAAAUGUCAGCAAAACAUCUCCAAAAGCUACAAACAUAUUGAGGUUAAGGCAGACACAUUAUUACAGUUUUUCUCUAUCGCUUUGGCUCAAUUCUCGAAUGAGAAUAAUUUUUUUCUAAACAAUAAGUUCAAAUCUCUGAACAGUUAUUUUCUUGUUCACACCAGAUUUGAAUUUCUUAUUCAUUUAAGCAAAUUGCACGUGUUUUGGCACAUGUGUGCAAAAGAGUAAGUACAAUUGUCUACAUUUUGCACAAUAACUAAAUGCACAUGGCUUGCUGAUCAAAACUGAUGAGAUGAUACUCUUUAUAACCUCUAAACAUUCUUUCAUCGUGUGAGCAUCACAUGCAAAAUGAUCUAUUCAUUUAUCAAAAUCUGUCAGACAUACAUGUAUAUUCCAUAAAAAUCUAUGACAUGGAAUGUUUGUGAUGUCUGCUAAAUCUCUGGCCAGACCAACAAGAGCGACAUGAUGUCCACCAAGAAGAUGGGAACUUGUAGUGUUACGUACUGUGAGAAGGUACAAUUUUUUUUUUUUUUUUGUUGUUGUUGUUUUUUUUACAGAACUACUGCAGAUUUUUUGUAUGGAUGUCAUUUUGUGGCAAUUUUCUGUUCACUAUAUAUGACUUUACAUGAAGAAAUGUGUAAAA